GACGGGAAGAUUUCCUCCUGGUGACAGUAAAUUGAAAUCCCACAUUUCUCCAGAAGUUCCGGUUCCGCCUGCGAGCAAAAUAACUGCCGAUUCUCCGAAUGCUCUGCAAGCUGCCAAACUGAUACCUGUUACAAUCGCGGAUAAAGCAGCUGGAAUAACAGCUUUGAUAAUCGUUUGUGAUUUCGUUGCUCCAAGAGCAUAAGAUGCUUCUCUCACAUCAACCGGUACCGCACGUAAUGCUUCCUCUGUCACACGCGUUAAUACCGG
rnacentral:antisense_RNA from 1 species